GCCUUCGGGAACGUCUGACACAGGUGCUGCAUGGCUGUCGUCAGCUCGUGUCGUGAGAUGUUGGGUUAAGUCCGUAACGAGCGCAACCCUUGUCCUUAGUUACCAGCACGUUAUGGUGGGCACUCUAAGGAGACUGCCGGUGACAAACCGGAGGAAGGUGGGGAGUGACGUCAAGUCAUCAUGGCCCUUACGGCCUGGGCUACACACGUGCUACAAUGGUCGGUACAAAGGGUUGCCAAGCCGCGAGGUGGAGCUAAUCCCAUAAAACCGAUCGUAGUCCGGAUCGCAGUCUGCAACUCGACUGCGUGAAGUCGGAAUCGCUAGUAAUCGUGAAUCAGAAUGUCACGGUGAAUACGUUCCCGGGCCUU
rnacentral:rRNA from 1 species